AAGGAGGAGUCGGAGGAAGAAACCAAGGAAGAGAAGGAUGAUGAAGAAGGGGAGAAAAAGGAUAAAGAGAAGAAACUUAAGAAGGUUAAGAAAGAAAAAAAGGAAAAAGUGAAGAGCGAGGAGGAGUCGAAGGGAGAAAAGGAUGAAGAAAAAGUGGAGAAGAAACUCAAGAUAGUUAAGAUUGAGGAAAAGGAAAAAGAGAAGAAAGACAAGAGCAAGGAGGAGUCGGAGGAAGAAACCAAGGAAGAGAAGGAUGAUGAAGAAGGGGAGAAAAGGAUAAAGAGAAGAAACUUAAGAAGGUUAAGAAAGAAAAAAGGAAAAAGUGAAGAGCGAGGAGGAGUCGAAGGGAGAAAAGGAUGAAGAAAAAGUGGAGAAGAAACUCAAGAUAGUUAAGAUUGAGGAAAAGGAAAAAGAGAAGAAAGACAAGAGCAAAGAGGGGUCGGAGGAAGAAAAAGUGGAGAAGAAACUCAAGAUAGUUAAGAUUGAGAAAAAGGAAAAAGAGAAGAAAGACAAGAGCAAGGAGGAGUCGGAGGAAGCAACGAAUGACGAAAAAGGGGAGAAGAAACUCAAGAAGGAAAAGAAAGAGAAAAAGAACAAAGGAGAGAAAGACAAGAUCAAAGAGGAGUCAGAAGAAGAGAAGGAUGUUGAAAAAGGGAAGAAAGACAAGAAAAAAGGGGGGUUGGAUGAAGAGAACAAGAGCGAAGCAGAGGAAGAAGAGAAUGAUGAAAAGGGUGUAAAGAAGGAUAAGGAGAAGAAA
rnacentral:lncRNA from 1 species